AGCCCCGUGGUGUAACGGAAGCAUCCUGGCCUUUGGAGCCAGUGGAGGGGGUUCGAAUCCUCCCGGGGCUA
rnacentral:tRNA from 1 species